CCUACGGGAGGCAGCAGUGGGGAAUAUUGCACAAUGGGGGGAACCCUGAUGCAGCGACGCCGCGUGAGUGAAGAAGUAUUUCGGUAUGUAAAGCUCUAUCAGCAGGGAAGAAAAUGACGGUACAUGACUAAGAAGCCCCGGCUAACUACGUGCCAGCAGCCGCGGUAAUACGUAGGGGGCAAGCGUUAUCCGGAUUUACUGGGUGUAAAGGGAGCGCAGACGGCUGUGCAAGUCUGGAGUGAAAGGCGGGGGCCCAACCCCCGGACUGCUCUGGAAACUGUAAAGCUGGAGUGCAGGAGAGGUAAGCGGAAUUCCUAGUGUAGCGGUGAAAUGCGUAGAUAUUAGGAGGAACACCAGUGGCGAAGGCGGCUUACUGGACUGCAACUGACGUUGAGGCUCGAAAGCGUGGGGAGCAAACAGGAUUAGAUACCCCAGUAGUC
rnacentral:rRNA from 1 species